rnacentral:rRNA from 1 species
GGGUCAGUAGGUCGGUCGUGCCACCGGUACGUACUGGUCUCACUGAUUCCCCCUUCCUGAAGAACCGUAAUGCCAUUAAUUUGGUGUUGCGGGGAAACAGGACUGUUACUUUGAAAAAAUUAGAGUGUUUAAAGCAAGCUAACGCUUGAAUACAUUAGCAUGGAAUAAUGAAAUAGGACGAUCGAUCCUAUUUUGUUGGUUUCUAGGAUUGACGUA